rnacentral:rRNA from 1 species
GUCAAGUCAUCAUGGCCCUUAUGUCCAGGGCUACACACGUGCUACAAUGGGCGGUACAAAGCGGAGCGAAGCCGCGAGGCAUAAGCGAAUCGCCGAAAGCCGCCCGUAGUUCGGAUUGAAGUCUGAAACCCGACUUCAUGAAGUUGGAAUCGCUAGUAAUCGCGCAUCAGCAUGGCGCGGUGAAUACGUUCCCGGGCCUU